rnacentral:rRNA from 1 species
CGGAACACCAGCGUCACGAGUGGCAUCCAUUUUUAUUGGGUCUAAAGUGUCCGUAGCUGGAUUCGAAAGUCUUCUGUGAAAUCGUUGAGCUUAACUUAACGCAUUGCAGGAGAUACUCCGAAUCUUGAGACCGGGAGGGGCUAGAGGUAUUCCUAGGGUAGCGGUAAAAUGCGAUAAUCCUGGGAGGACCACCUGUGGCGAAGGCGUCUAGCUAGAACGGGUCUGACAGUGAGGGACGAAGGCUAGGGGAGCGAUCCGGAUUAGAUACCCGAGUAGUCCUAGCAGUAAACGCUGCAAGUUAGGUGUUGCAUAACCUUCAGGGUUGUGCAGUAUCGUAGGGAAGCCGUUAAACUUGCCACCUGGGGAGUACGGCCGCAAGGUUGAAACUUAAAGGAAUUGGCG